rnacentral:rRNA from 1 species
AACACGUAGUCAACAUGCCCAGGGGACGUGGAUAACCUCGGGAAACUGAGAAUAAACCGCGAUAGGUCACAAUUUCUGGAAUGGAUUUUGGCUUAAAUCUAUAUGGCCCCUGGAUUGGACUGCGGCCGAUCAGGCUGUUGGUGAGGUAAUGGCCCACCAAACCUGUAACCGGUACGGGCUCUGAGAGGAGGAGCCCGGAGAUGGGCACUGAGACAAGGGCCCAGGCCCUAUGGGGCGCAGCAGGCGCGAAACCUCUGCAAUGGGCGAAAGCCUGACAGGGUUACUCUGAGUGAUUUCCGCUAAGGGGAUCUUUUGACACCUCUAAAAAUGGUGUAGAAUAAGGGGUGGGCAAGUCUGGUGUCAGCCGCCGCGGUAAUACCAGCACCCCGAGUGGUCGGGACGAUUAUUGGGCCUAAAGCAUCCGUAGCCGGUUCUUCAAGUCUUCCGUUAAAUCCAGCCGCUCAACGGAUGGGCUGCGGAAGAUACUAUAGGACUAGGAGGCGGGAGAGGCAAGCGGUACUCAGUGGGUAGGGGUAAAAUCCUUUGAUCCAUUGAAGA